AAUUCUCAACCUCUUCAGCUUUUGUUGAUGAGGCUUGGAUGUGGGGGGUUUUGCAGGUCUGCCUUAAUUGUGCGGUCUGCUCCCCUGAAAUGUAUUAGCGGGUUGGCUUCCGUCUAUUGGUGUGAUAAUUAUCUACGCCGUGGAUGGGUUUGGCUUUCAGACCAGCUUCUAACUGUCCUUUGGACAACUCUUGACAU
rnacentral:misc_RNA from 1 species